GCGUAUGUUAAAGUUGUUGCGGCUAAAAAGCUCGUAGUUGGAUUUCUAGAUGAGAGGAGUGGUCCACUCUAUGAGUGUGUAUCUACUUCCGCUCGUCUAUCCGCUCUGCAAACGUGUCUGCGCUUGACUGCGUGGUACGGAGGUAGGGCCUUUUACUUUGAGGAAAUUAGAGUGUUCACGGCAGGCAAUCGCCUUGAAUAUAUUAGCAUGGAAUAAUAACAUAGGAUCUUGGUUCUAUUUUGUUGGUUUCUAGGACUAAGAUAAUGAUUAAUAGGGACAAUAGGGGGCAUUCGUAUCGCGGUGUCAGAGGUGGAAUUCUUGGAUUACUGCGCGACGAACUACUGCGAAAGCAUUUGCCAAGGAUGUUUUCAUUGAUCAAGAACGAAAGUAAGGGGAUCGAAGACGAUUAGAUACCGUCGUAGUCUUUACCAUAAACUAUGCCAACUAGAGAUGGGGCGUCGUUCUUACAUGACUCGCUCCGCACCUUAUGAGAAAUCAAAGUUUUUGGGUUCCGGGGGGAGUAUGGUCGCAAGGCUGAAACUUAAA
rnacentral:rRNA from 1 species